CCUACUAUUUUACCCCCAAAGUUCAAAAGUUCAGGCUUGUGCUGACACUUGUCUGUUUUAGAAGCCAAGCUGUCUGGGUGCUGCAACAAACCUGCUGCCCAAAGUUAGUAGAGACAUUAAGACCCAUUCCAAAGACUUUAAAAUCUGUACCUUCACCCAUCAAAUUGUUUGUAAAGACAUUUGCUUUCCUCUCAAGGGGCUUACUGGCUUCUCUAGCACUUUGCUGCUUUACCUGGUUCAGAUUUACCUGGUCUGUGCUGCUGGAUAAAAUCAGGACCUAAAUUUUUUCAGGUUAAAAAAAUCCUUUGAUGGAAAAAGAAGAGACCCAAACCUCUGGUUUAACUUCUAGAAAUAGAAUCACAAAAUUAAAUAGUUUGGAAAAGACCUCUGAGAUCAUUGAGUUCAACCUGUGCCUGACCCCCACCUUGUCAUCCAGUCCAGAGCACUCAGUGCCAUGUCCAGGCAUUCUUUGGACACCUCCAGGAAUGGGGACUCCACCAUCUGGAGUCCCUGGGCAGUCCCUUCCAAUGCCUGACACCCUUUCCAUGGAGAAUUUCCUCUGGAUGUCCAACCCAAACCUUUCCUGGUACAACUUCAUGCCAUUUCCUCCUGUCCCGGCCCUGUUCCCUGGGAGCAGAGCCCAACCCCACCCCAGGUGUCCCCUCCUGUCAGGAGUUGUGCAGAGCCAGGAGGUCCUCCCAAGCCUCCUUUUCUCCAGGCUGAGCCCUUUCCCAGCUCCCUCAGCCCCUCCUGGUGCUCCAGUCCUUUCCUCAGCUCCAUUCCCAGCUCCAUUCCUGGCUCUGGACCCUCUCCAGCCCCUUGAUGUCCUUCCUGAACCCACCUCCAUGGACUCCUCAUGGGAGGGUGUUUCCAGUCCUGUCAGAAUUUGCUCCUUUGAUGAAAAUUAAAAUGAAAAUUAUAAGCCCAAAGGUUCAUAUCACUUCUUCUUGUGGGAUUACAGAAGACACGUGGAGGAAGCAGCCCGGACUGGGGACAAGAUACUGGAAAUGCCUUUGGAAGAAGUAAAGGAAUGGCCUAGGCAGCUGAGAGACCACAUCUCAGGGAUCAGAUUUUUUGGGUCACUGAUAUCUGGGACUAGGGGACCCACUGGACUGCUAUGAAGAGCUCUUUGCUCUUA
rnacentral:lncRNA from 1 species